CAAACAUCAACAAGAAUUAUCAAAAAAGAAACAACAUAAACUUCAACAACAUAUUGUGAAAGAUGCAAGUAACAUCAUGGGCUACUCUGAACGACAUCAAAGACGAAUACGCAAGGCGAUUGAUGCUGAGGAACGGAGAAUCAAAGCAAGGGAGAGAAAAAGAAAAGAACGUUUGAGAAAGAAUAUGGCGACCCAAGAAGCUGCAGACGGCCAG